AUUAUUUUGGCAGAAUAGUGCAUUGAAUUUAGAAUUCAAAUAUGUGAAUUAUUACAAAUAAUA
rnacentral:tRNA from 1 species